GGGAGAGUGUCCACGUCGACAUAUAAAUUCAACCAAUGUGGUUUGAACUUGCUUUCAUCUCCGACGGAACCUGAGUUCUGAGAACGUGUUUCAUCUUCUUCCUUAGAAUUCGAAAAGCUACCAGUAAGUCCUUAUUAAAUCCAUCACCGACGAUCUACGAUCUUCCCUCAUGCAAGGAGGUGGAACUGCGACUAUAAAAAUUGAUUGGAGAGCAGUUUCAUUUAACUUCGAUAUAUGACAGUGACAAUGAUUGCGGCUGUAUCAACAUCGAUGAAGGAGUUCCCGUGAUCGGAAUGGAGUACAAACUGUCUCAGGUGUUGCAGUUCUCUUGGUCAUCAUUGAAAAAGUCAGGUAUAAAUAAACAUUGAUAAAGAAAUAAGCUUUCCAUCGACUAUCAAAUUAUUUUUUUCAGGAAUACUUUACUGACCUGAAGGCGUUGAAGCCAAACUAUGGCAGGUACCAGAGACGCUUCCAGAAUAAGCACUCUCUAAGAUGAGCACACCACCAAAGAGUGAAUCACCAAUUUUCACACCUGACGAACUAACUGAAGCUGAUGGGUUCGUCUUUGGAUUCCCAACAAGGUACGGCAUGAUGGCUGCUCAGUUCAAAGUCUUCUUGGACACUACCGGUGGACUCCGGAGAACUCAGUCACUUGCUGGUAAACCAGCUGGAUCUUCUACAGCAGUGGCUCUCAAGGUGGUAGCCAAGAAACCACUGCGUAAGUUCCCAUGAAACCAUGAGAGUCGUGAGCCGUAGUUUGUCAAUAAUAAAGUAGAUGUUUUUUUCUCAAGUCAUGUUCACGCAUACGUGAGGUCAGUAAGUACACAAAACUUUAGCUCAUUAUGUCUCCGUUUAAACUAUAGAUUAUGAUAAUUUUUUGAGCUUCUGUGAAACCAUGAACUCUUUUUUUUUUUAUCAACUACCAUGAACCCAUAUCAAACAUAGCAGACACCGUGGUUAAUGACAUUUCCAGUCCACUAAAAGAUCAAUCUGCUCAUGUCUACAUCAUUUGUGAUGGAGGAAACAUUGAAGGAUUUGCUACCAAGUCAGCUAUAUAAUAAAGGACUUAUGGUCAUUGCAAACAACCUUUUUAUUAGAUUUUAGAUGUGUUAUAUGAUUUCUGCAGAAUGACUGAGCCUCAGCCUAAGUACUCUACCACAGAGAAGCAAGUUUUGGACAUGCUAUAAUCUCGAUAGAGAAAUGUACAUAUGCGCAGUAUGGAUGGGACAGGAAAAAUUUACGUAGUCAGGGCUGGCACCAUGUUGUUUUACAACUGGUUAUGGCAUCCUGAUGGUGAUUCUACUUCUUUUUCUUGAGAACCUCAAUAAAUAUAUCAGUUGCAACAUCUACAAAUAUAACCGUGACUGAUAACAGAGACUGACUGCUAAUGGUUCUGAGUCAUUCCCACUGCACAAAAGAACAAACAAAAAAAAAAGCCAAGUUGAAUAAUAAGACACAAACCAUCCAUACAUUACGUAAGACGUAGAAGAUAUACUUUGAAUUUACAAAACCAUUUAACGUAAUAAAAAUACAA